rnacentral:rRNA from 1 species
GAUGAACGCUAGCGGCAGGCUUAAUACAUGCAAGUCGUGGGGCAGCAUGAGUAGCAAUACUUGAUGGCGACCGGCAAACGGGUGAGGAACACGUACACAACCUUCCUUCAAGCGGGGAAUAGCCCAGAGAAAUUUGGAUUAAUACCCCAUAAUAUAUUUGAUAAGGCAUCUUAUUAAUAUUAAAGCUUCGGCACUUGAUGAUGGGUGUGCGGCUGAUUAGAUAGUUGGCGGGGUAACGGCCCACCAAGUCUACGAUCAGUAGCUGAUGUGAGAGCAUGAUCAGCCACACGGGCACUGAGACACGGGCCCGACUCCUACGGGAGGCAGCAGUAAGGAAUAUUGGACAAUGGACGAAAGUCUGAUCCAGCCAUGCCGCGUGAAGGAUUAAGGUCCUCUGGAUUGUAAACUUCUUUUAUAUGGGACGAAAAAGGGCAUUCUGUUCACUUGACGGUACCAUAUGAAUAAGCACCGGCUAACUCCGUGCCAG